rnacentral:tRNA from 1 species
GGACAGAUGGCCGAGUGGUUGAAGGCGCUCGCCUGGAACGCGGGUAUGGGGUAACACUCAUCGAGGGUUCGAAUCCCUCUCUGUCCGCCA